UACGAAGGGUGCAAGCGUUACUCGGAAUUACUGGGCGUAAAGCGUGCGUAGGUGGUUUGUUAAGUCUGUUGUGAAAGCCCCGGGCUCAACCUGGGAAUGGCAAUGGAUACUGGCAAGCUAGAGUGCGGUAGAGGGUAGUGGAAUUCCCGGUGUAGCGGUGAAAUGCGUAGAGAUCGGCAGGAACACCCAGGGGGAAACCAGCCGACUGGGCAUCUGCUGACGCUGAGGUGCGAGAGCGUGGGGAGCGAACCGG
rnacentral:rRNA from 1 species